rnacentral:rRNA from 1 species
AGAGUUUGAUCCUGGCUCAGAUUGAACGCUAGCGGCAUGCUUAACACAUGCAAGUCGAACGGCAGCGCGAGGAGCUUGCUCCUUGGCGGCGAGUGGCGGACGGGUGAGUAACGCGUAGGAAUUUACCUUGUAGUGGGGGACAACCCGGGGAAACUCGGGCUAAUACCGCAUAAUCUCUAUGGAGCAAAGUGGGGGACCUUCGGGCCCCACGCUAUAAGAUGAGCCUGCGUCGGAUUAGCUUGUUGGUGGGGUAAAGGCCUACCAAGGCAACGAUCCGUAGCUGGUCUGAGAGGACGACCAGCCACACUGGGACUGAGACACGGCCCAGACUCCUACGGGAGGCAGCAGUGGGGAAUAUUGGACAAUGGGGGCAACCCUGAUCCAGCAAUGCCGCGUGUGUGAAGAAGGCCUUCGGGUUGUAAAGCACUUUCAGUGGGGAAGAAAUGCUUAAGGUUAAUACCCUUAAGAGUUGACGUUACCCACAGAAGAAGCACUGGCUAACUCUGUGCCAGCAGCCGCGGUAAUACAGAGAGUGCAAGCGUUAAUCGGAAUUACUGGGCGUAAAGCGCGCGUAGGUGGAUACUUUACUCGGAUGUGAAAGCCCUGGGCUUAACCUAGGAACUGCAUCCGAAACUGAGUAUCUAAAGUAUGGUAGAGGGAAGUGGAAUUUCCAGUGUACCGGUGAAAUGCGUAGAUAUC